ACCUGAUCCAGCCAUGCCGCGUGUGUGAAGAAGGCCUUAUGGUUGUAAAGCACUUUAAGCGAGGAGGAGGCUACUAGUAUUAAUACUACUGGAUAGUGGACGUUACUCGCAGAAUAAGCACCGGCUAACUCUGUGCCAGCAGCCGCGGUAAUAA
rnacentral:rRNA from 1 species